rnacentral:tRNA from 1 species
UGGCUCGUAGCUCAGUCGGCAGAGCACCCACCUGUUGAGCGGGGAGUCGCAGGUUCGAACCCUGCCGAGCCAGC